rnacentral:rRNA from 1 species
AUUGAACGCUGGCAGCAUGCCUUACACAUGCAAGUCGAACGGCAGCACGGGAGCAAUCCUGGUGGCGAGUGGCGAACGGGUGAGUAAUACAUCGGAACGUGUCCUGUAGUGGGGGAUAGCCCGGCGAAAGCCGGAUUAAUACCGCAUACGCUCUACGGAGGAAAGGGGGGGAUCGCAAGACCUCUCGCUACAGGGGCGGCCGAUGGCAGAUUAGCUAGUUGGUGGGGUAAAGGCCUACCAAGGCGACGAUCUGUAGCUGGUCUGAGAGGACGACCAGCCACACUGGGACUGAGACACGGCCCAGACUCCUACGGGAGGCAGCAGUGGGGAAUUUUGGACAAUGGGCGCAAGCCUGAUCCAGCAAUGCCGCGUGUGUGAAGAAGGCCUUCGGGUUGUAAAGCACUUUUGUCCGGAAAGAAAUCCUUUGGGCUAAUACCCUGAGGGGAUGACG